AAUUUUUGUUGAUCCUCGGCACUAGUGUUUAUUAACUCCUGAAGAACAAGAAAAAGCUAUAACUCGCCUUAUUGAAACAUGGGAAACAUAAAUUUUCUUGAAGAAUAAAGAUUCUCCUAUUUGCGAAUUUACAGAUACUACUGCUAAUGAUGAAUUAACAAUUGAGAGUUCUAUUGAAAAAAGCCAAACCUCAACAGAUCCAUGUGAAGAUUAUUUAUUAUCACAAUCAUCUGUUACAUCCAAUUCGUCUACCUUGCCCUUAACUACAACUUCUGAAAGUAUAUUGAAUAUUUUGAAUGAUUUUAAACAUGUUGAGCGAAUUCCUUAUACUUAUACGGCAGUUAACCAAUCCUGAACUUUAUCAGUUAGCAAGUGUAGUCUUAGCAGUUCCAGCGACUCAGGUUUAGUGUUAGUGUAGAAAGGAGCUUUUCCGGUUUAAAAUUCAUUGUCUCUGAUUUGAGAACAUCAUUAGAUGCAGAACUGUUGGAAGCAAUCAUGCUAGUUAGAAGCAAUGCAAAAUUUAAAAUAUGUCAUUAAAAUAUUAAAUUUUGUUCUUAUUUAUGUGAAAAUGUGAAAUAUAAUAUUAUAAUAAAGCUUAUAAAGAAAACAACUGUUUCAUAAUUA